rnacentral:rRNA from 1 species
AAACGAGUACAGUGGCGCACGGGUGAGUACGCGUGAAUAAUCUACCCCUGAAUUUGGGAUAACAGUUCGAAAGGGCUGCUAAUACCGGAUGAUAUAAUUCUUACCACGGUUUGGGUUAUCAAAGAGGGCCUCUCCUUGGAAGCUCUUGUUUGGGGAUGAGUUCGCGUACCAUUAGCUUGUUGGUGGGGUAAUGGCCUACCAAGGCUUCGAUGGUUAGCUGGUCUGAGAGGAUGAUCAGCCACACUGGAACUGACACACGGUCCAGACUCCUACGGGAGGCAGCAGUGAGGAAUUUUGCGCAAUGGGGGAAACCCUGACGCAGCAACGCCGCGUGAGUGAUGAAGGCUCUUGGGUCGUAAAGCUCUGUCAAGUGGGAAGAAACCUUCCUUAUUUAAUAGAUAAGGGAAUUGACGGUACCACUGAAGGAAGCACCGGCUAACUCCGUGCCAGCAGCCGCGGUAACACGGGGGGUGCAAGCGUUAUUCGGAAUUAUUGGGCGUAAAGGGCGCGUAGGCGGCCAUUUAAGUCGGGUGUGAAAUCCCGGGGCUUAACCCCGGAACUGCAUCCGAUACUGGAUGGCUUGAGUAUGGGAGAGGGAAGUGGAAUUCCAGGUGUAGAGGUGAAAUUCGUAGAUAUCUGGAGGAACACCAGUGGCGAAGGCGACUUCCUGGACCAAUACUGACGCUGAGGCGCGAAGGCGUGGGGAGCAAACAGGAUUAGAUAACCUGGUAUC